CUUCAAAAAUAAUAAUUUUUGUCAUAAGAAUGUAUAACUGGCUGGGCACAGUGGCUCACACCUGUAAUCCUAGCACUUUGGGAGGCCAAGGCAAGCAGAUCACAAGGUUAGGAGUUUGAGAUCAGCCUGACAAACAUGGUGAAACCCCAUCUGUACUAAAAAUGCAAAAGGAACCGGGUGUGGCGGCAUGUGCCUCUAAUCCCUGCUACUCAGGAGGCUGAGUUAGGAUAAUCUCUUGAACCUGGGAGGCAGAGGCUGCAGUGAGCCAAGAUCGUGCCACUGCACUCCAGCCUGGGCCACAGAACAAGACUCCAUCUCAAAAAAAAAAAACACAAAAGAAUGUAUAACUUACAUAAUACGAAAACAAUGAAAAAAAUUUAAGUUCCAAACUAAACAUUGACUUAGUUGCUAAAACCAUUAUUUAAAUGACAAUUGCCCUCCAUUCAGAUGCCCAGCGAGAGAUGAUACACAUUCAUCAUAUGAGGUGCCAUUUUAACAUGAAAUUUAUUAGCAGUAAUUUAAAACAUUACUUGAAGUUACUUUAUACAAUUGCAGCAUGCUUUCUAAUUUGAUUUCUGCAAGGUUGUGAUAUGCUGGUAAAGGUAAACUAGCUUGAGGGUUAAUGUACUCAAUGGAGAAGAGUGGGUUGUAUUAUUAGCUCUGUGUACCAGGGCUUUUUGGUUUUCUUUUGUUUUUAAAAUCAAGACUUUCUCUUAUUGCAUAACUCAGUGGGAGUAUAGUUGCUUAGUAACCCUGCACUGACUGGGGGCUGUUGCUCUCGGACCCGGGAGGAACCUGCGUGUGAAUGAGACAGCUGUCAGCAAGCCUACACUCAGGAUUUACCCGGUGCAGAGAGCUCCAAAAGAACACAGCAGAACUCCAGAGCCCUUGGCAUUCUGGCUCACUUGAAUUUGUCCUCCUGCCUAUGACAUAUUCUUUUCACACAUACAAUCAUUUGUUUGCAGUCUGGAAAUAUAAAACCAUUCAAGAAACGGAGCCCAACUAUUGGGACAUGGAUGAAUCUGGAGAACAUCAUCCUCAGCAAACUGACACAAGAACAGAAAAUGAAACACCGCAUAUUCUCACUCAUAGGUGGGUGAUGAAAAAUGAGAACACAUGGACACAGAAAGGGGACUACUAA
rnacentral:lncRNA from 13 species